GGGUUGUGAGGUUAAGCGACUAAGCGUACACGGUGGAUGCCCUGGCAGUCAGAGGCGAUGAAGGACGUGCUAAUCUGCGAUAAGCGUCGGUAAGGUGAUAUGAACCGUUAUAACCGGCGAUUUCCGAAUGGGGAAACCCAGUGUGAUUCGUCACACUAUCAUUAACUGAAUCCAUAGGUUAAUGAGGCGAACCGGGGGAACUGAAACAUCUAAGUACCCCGAGGAAAAGAAAUCAACCGAGAUUCCCCCAGUAGCGGCGAGCGAACGGGGAGCAGCCCAGAGCCUGAAUCAGUGUGUGUGUUAGUGGAAGCGUCUGGAAAGGCGCGCGAUACAGGGUGACAGCCCCGUACACAAAAAUGCACAUGCUGUGAGCUCGAUGAGUAGGGCGGGACACGUGGUAUCCUGUCUGAAUAUGGGGGGACCAUCCUCCAAGGCUAAAUACUCCUGACUGACCGAUAGUGAACCAGUACCGUGAGGGAAAGGCGAAAAGAACCCCGGCGAGGGGAGUGAAAAAGAACCUGAAACCGUGUACGUACAAGCAGUGGGAGCACAGAGCAAUCUGUGUGACUGCGUACCUUUUGUAUAAUGGGUCAGCGACUUAUAUUCUGUAGCAAGGUUAACCGAAUAGGGGAGCCGAAGGGAAACCGAGUCUUAACUGGGCGUUAAGUUGCAGGGUAUAGACCCGAAACCCGGUGAUCUAGCCAUGGGCAGGUUGAAGGUUGGGUAACACUAACUGGAGGACCGAACCGACUAAUGUUGAAAAAUUAGCGGAUGACUUGUGGCUGGGGGUGAAAGGCCAAUCAAACCGGGAGAUAGCUGGUUCUCCCCGAAAGCUAUUUAGGUAGCGCCUCGUGAAUUCAUCUCCGGGGGUAGAGCACUGUUUCGGCAAGGGGGUCAUCCCGACUUACCAACCCGAUGCAAACUGCGAAUACCGGAGAAUGUUAUCACGGGAGACACACGGCGGGUGCUAACGUCCGUCGUGAAGAGGGAAACAACCCAGACCGCCAGCUAAGGUCCCAAAGUCAUGGUUAAGUGGGAAACGAUGUGGGAAGGCCCAGACAGCCAGGAUGUUGGCUUAGAAGCAGCCAUCAUUUAAAGAAAGCGUAAUAGCUCACUGGUCGAGUCGGCCUGCGCGGAAGAUGUAACGGGGCUAAACCAUGCACCGAAGCUGCGGCAGCGACACUGUGUGUUGUUGGGUAGGGGAGCGUUCUGUAAGCCUGCGAAGGUGUGCUGUGAGGCAUGCUGGAGGUAUCAGAAGUGCGAAUGCUGACAUAAGUAACGAUAAAGCGGGUGAAAAGCCCGCUCGCCGGAAGACCAAGGGUUCCUGUCCAACGUUAAUCGGGGCAGGGUGAGUCGACCCCUAAGGCGAGGCCGAAAGGCGUAGUCGAUGGGAAACAGGUUAAUAUUCCUGUACUUGGUGUUACUGCGAAGGGGGGACGGAGAAGGCUAUGUUGGCCGGGCGACGGUUGUCCCGGUUUAAGCGUGUAGGCUGGUUUUCCAGGCAAAUCCGGAAAAUCAAGGCUGAGGCGUGAUGACGAGGCACUACGGUGCUGAAGCAACAAAUGCCCUGCUUCCAGGAAAAGCCUCUAAGCAUCAGGUAACAUCAAAUCGUACCCCAAACCGACACAGGUGGUCAGGUAGAGAAUACCAAGGCGCUUGAGAGAACUCGGGUGAAGGAACUAGGCAAAAUGGUGCCGUAACUUCGGGAGAAGGCACGCUGAUAUGUAGGUGAAGUCCCUCGCGGAUGGAGCUGAAAUCAGUCGAAGAUACCAGCUGGCUGCAACUGUUUAUUAAAAACACAGCACUGUGCAAACACGAAAGUGGACGUAUACGGUGUGACGCCUGCCCGGUGCCGGAAGGUUAAUUGAUGGGGUCAGCGCAAGCGAAGCUCUUGAUCGAAGCCCCGGUAAACGGCGGCCGUAACUAUAACGGUCCUAAGGUAGCGAAAUUCCUUGUCGGGUAAGUUCCGACCUGCACGAAUGGCGUAAUGAUGGCCAGGCUGUCUCCACCCGAGACUCAGUGAAAUUGAACUCGCUGUGAAGAUGCAGUGUACCCGCGGCAAGACGGAAAGACCCCGUGAACCUUUACUAUAGCUUGACACUGAACAUUGAGCCUUGAUGUGUAGGAUAGGUGGGAGGCUUUGAAGUGUGGACGCCAGUCUGCAUGGAGCCGACCUUGAAAUACCACCCUUUAAUGUUUGAUGUUCUAACGUUGACCCGUGAUCCGGGUUGCGGACAGUGUCUGGUGGGUAGUUUGACUGGGGCGGUCUCCUCCUAAAGAGUAACGGAGGAGCACGAAGGUUGGCUAAUCCUGGUCGGACAUCAGGAGGUUAGUGCAAUGGCAUAAGCCAGCUUGACUGCGAGCGUGACGGCGCGAGCAGGUGCGAAAGCAGGUCAUAGUGAUCCGGUGGUUCUGAAUGGAAGGGCCAUCGCUCAACGGAUAAAAGGUACUCCGGGGAUAACAGGCUGAUACCGCCCAAGAGUUCAUAUCGACGGCGGUGUUUGGCACCUCGAUGUCGGCUCAUCACAUCCUGGGGCUGAAGUAGGUCCCAAGGGUAUGGCUGUUCGCCAUUUAAAGUGGUACGCGAGCUGGGUUUAGAACGUCGUGAGACAGUUCGGUCCCUAUCUGCCGUGGGCGCUGGAGAACUGAGGGGGGCUGCUCCUAGUACGAGAGGACCGGAGUGGACGCAUCACUGGUGUUCGGGUUGUCAUGCCAAUGGCACUGCCCGGUAGCUAAAUGCGGAAGAGAUAAGUGCUGAAAGCAUCUAAGCACGAAACUUGCCCCGAGAUGAGUUCUCCCUGACCCUUUAAGGGUCCUGAAGGAACGUUGAAGACGACGACGUUGAUAGGCCGGGUGUGUAAGCGCAGCGAUGCGUUGAGCUAACCGGUACUAAUGAACCGUGAGGCUUAACCUUACAACGCCGAAGGUGUUU
rnacentral:rRNA from 1 species